GAUGAACGCUGGCGGCGUGCCUAAUACAUGCAAGUCGAACGCAUUGUGGUUGAAAUGAUAUGAAGAACUUGUUCAGAUUUGAUUUUCAACAUUGCAAUGAGUGGCGAACGGGUGAGUAACACGUGGGAAACCUACCUCUUAGCAGGGGAUAACAUUUGGAAACAAAUGCUAAUACCGUAUAAUAAUUAAAACCGCAUGGUUUUAGUUUAAAAGAUGGUCUUGCUAUCACUAAGAGAUGGUCCCGCGGUGUAUUAGUUAGUUGGUGAGGUAAUGGCUCACCAAGACAAUGAUACAUAGCCGAGUUGAGAGACUGACCGGCCACAAUUGGGACUGAGACACGGCCCAUACUCCUACGGGAGGCAGCAGUUAGGGAAUCUUCCACAAUGGACGAAAGUACGUGAUGGAGCAACGCCGCGUGUGUGAUGAAGGGUUUCGGCUCGUAAAACACUGUUGUAAGAGAAGAAUGACAUUGAGAGUAACUGUUCAAUGUGUGACGGUAUUC
rnacentral:rRNA from 1 species